rnacentral:misc_RNA from 1 species
GAUGAAGAACGUAGCGAAAUGCGAUAAGUAGUGUGAAUUGCAGAAUUCAGUGAAUCAUCGAAUCUUUGAACGCACAUUGCGCCCCUUGGUAUCCCGAGGGGCAUGCCUGUUCGAGCGUCAUUUCACCACUCAAGCCUGGCUUGGUGUUGGGCGACGUCCCCUUUGGGGACGCGCCUCGAAACGCUCGGCGGCGUGGCACCGGCUUUAAGCGUAGCAGAAUCUUUCGCUUUGGAAGUCGGGGCCCCGUCUGCCGGAAGACCUACUCGCAAGGUUGACCUCGGAUCAGGCAGGGAUACCCGCUGAACUUAAGCAUAUCAAUAGGCGGAGGA